rnacentral:lncRNA from 1 species
UUAGGUUUGUUGGGUAUGGCUGACCGAAGAACCCUCUCCGGGUGGGGAUUCUGUCUCAACGUCGGGCUGAGUCACCGUGGGGACUUGGAGAAUCAGGCUGGAAAUUUGGGAGCCUGCCUGGGGCGAACCUGGGUCGCUGGCUUCCUUCUCUGUUGCCUCCGGUCCCUGCCUUGCGCCUGCCUCCUCCUCCAUAGCGAUGUCCUCUACCGUUUUUCCUGUUGUAGCGCCCCCGGUCUUUGCUAUCCGAUUUUUCCGAUUGGCCUGCCAUAUGUCUCCGCGUUUCUGCUUUCCGGCCUCUCGGUGUCUGGCUUCCCGGGCCUCUUUGGCCUGCCGGGCUAGCUCUGCGCUCUGUCUGCGGGCUGUCCUUGCCGGCUCAGUCAGCUUUUUGAAGUGAUCCUUCCGCGCUUGGUCG